rnacentral:rRNA from 1 species
UACGAGGGGAGCUAGCGUUAUUCGGAAUUACUGGGCGUAAAGCGCACGUAGGCGGCUUUGUAAGUAAGGGGUGAAAGCCCAGAGCUCAACUCUGGAAUAGCCUUUUAGACUGCAUCGCUUGAAUCCAGGAGAGGUGAGUGGAAUUCCGAGUGUAGAGGUGAAAUUCGUAGAUAUUCGGAAGAACACCAGUGGCGAAGGCGACUUACUGGACACAUAUUGACGCUGAGGUGCGAAAGCGUGGGGAGCAAACAGG